CAGUAUUUUAGAUAUUCGUUGUUUAUCAUUUUAUUCUUCUAAAGUAAAUGUAUAAUAAUCUAUUCUACUUGUACUAUAUUUAAUAUCUUGUUUGAGGUUAUUAAUAUUACUAACUAUUUUUUCUUGUUCUCUUCUUAAUGAAUUUUUUAAACUAUCUAAACUUUUAUCUUUGCUUUUUUCUAAAUUUUUCAAGGUUUCGUCUAUCCAUUUUAAUUUUUCUAUUAGAUUUUUCAUUAUUUCUCUAAUUUGUUUUCUAUAAUCAAUUUCUUUAUGUAGGUCUUCUUGGUUUUCUCUAAUUUUCUUGAUAUAUUCUGACAUUUUUAGUCUGUAUAAUAU
rnacentral:lncRNA from 1 species